rnacentral:misc_RNA from 1 species
AAUCAUCAACUCUUAUCUUUAAUGGAUGAGGGCUUGGACUUGGAGGCUCAUGCUGGUAUUUCUUUUAAUAAGAAAAAUCAGCUCCUCUUGAAUGCAUUAGCUUGAACCUAUGCUGUAUCGGCUGUUCGGUGUGAUAAUUGUCUACGCCGUGGCUGUGAGGCUUUAAACUUGUAGGAUCAGCUUCCAAUCGUCCCCUCGGGACAACAUCUUCAUUGAC